CUAGAGUGACCGGGCCGUGGUGUUCGGGAAGCCGGUGACGGACCUUGGGGUCCCAGGCCGGAGCGGCCCUCGCCACUGUGAUCGGGGAGUUUCCGCCCCUUCCGCAGGCGCACGGUGCGCCUGCGGCGCCACUGACCGCGACCCGCGGCCGGGAAGGCGGGGCGGGCGCGUGCACCCGUAAGCCAGGAGACCGGCCACGGCAUCUCACGAAGU
rnacentral:ncRNA from 2 species